rnacentral:tRNA from 1 species
GAGAUCAUGGCGAAAUGGCCAACGCGACGGGUUGUGGCCCCGUUAUCGCCGGUUCGAUUCCGGUUGGUCUCCC